GUGUGGCUGUGGGUCAUACGUGUGGUCAUAUGGGUGGCUAUGGGUCAUACGUGUGGUCAUAUGUGUGGGAAUGGGCACAUGUGGUCAUGUAUGUGGUCAUGCGUGUGGUCGUAUGUGUGGCUGUGGGUCAUACGUGUGGUCAUAUGGGUGGCUAUGGGUCAUACGUGUGGUCAUAUGUGUGGGAAUGGGCACAUGUGGUCAUGUAUGUGGUCAUGCGUGUGGUCGUAUGUGUGGUAAUGGGUCAUACAUGUGGUCAUAUGUGUGGAAAUGGGCACAUGUAGUCAUUCAUGUGGUCGUAUGUGUGGCCAUAGGUGUAUGUGGUCAUGUAUGUGGUCAUACGUGUGGUCGUAUGUGUGGGAAUGGGCACGUGUGGUCAUGUAUGUGGUCAUACGUGUGGUUAUAUGUGUGGCUGUGGGUCAUACGUGUGGUAAUAUGUGUGGCUAUGGGUCAUACGUGUGGUCAUAUGUGUGGGAAUGGGCACAUGUGGUCAUAC
ensembl:lncRNA